AAAUGCUGUGCUGCAAAGACAGUUUUGCCUUCAUGACUUUGUUUUUUUCAGCUAGCAUACAUCAAGACAUGGUAUUCACACUAGGAUUGCUCCCAAAAAACAGGUUGGAAGCAUAUUCAUCAGUUUUUCUCCCUUUUUCCUUUGCAGUUGUCUAACAUUGCAACAGCAGAUUUGGCAUCCCCAGUUUAGUCCAGUAUUAUUCCUGUUCAUGGGUGCCAACCAAAGGCACCCAAAGGGGCACUGUGCUUUCUGAAUGAAGCCACUUGUAGGCACCUUUAUAAACAUAGCUGGAGAAGUUAGAACAUUUCAGUGCGGCAGUCUUACUUUGAUAUUUUUCAUGCAAGAAUAUGAUCUCUCUUUCCUGAGAUAUAAAGACUGAACAAACAGAAGUAGGUCAGCUAAUGCCAACUGCACUGAGUAGGAUUUAGAAUACAACAAGGGAAGAAAUGAACUCCACAGCCUAAGAGAGCCCUUCAAAACUGAAUGCAUCAAGUUAGAAACAAGAAGAAAGGUGAGCAGCACUGCACACACCUAAAAACAGCAUACUCUAUCUACCCAGGUAAGUGGAAAAGAAAGCAAGCUUGUACAUACUGUAAUAGAAAUAGAAACAGUAACAUUGUAGACAUACCUAACAUUUUCCUUCUACCACUGAAUUUCCUGUACAUACUGUCC
rnacentral:lncRNA from 1 species